ACGCCGCGUGUGUGAUGAAGGCGGAAACGUUGUAAAGCACUUUUCCUGGGGAAGAAUAAGGUGAGGAGGUAAUGCCUCAUCGAUGACACGAACUAGGGAAUAAGCCCCGGCUAAUUACGUGCCAGCAGCCGCGGUAACACGUAAGGGGCAAGCGUUGUUCGGAAUUAUUGGGCGUAAAGGGCGUGUAGGCGGCCUGGUAAGUCUGGUGUGAAAGACCGCAGCUUAACUGCGGGACCGCGCUGGAAACUAUCAGGCUAGAGUUUAAGAGGGGGAGCUAGAAUUCCAGGUGUAGGGGUGAAAUCUGUAGAUAUCUGGAAGAAUACCGGAGGCGAAGGCGAGCUCCUGGCUAUAAACUGACGCUGAGGCGCGAAAGCGUGGGGAGCAAACAGGAUUAGAUACCCUGGUAGUCCACGCUGUAAACGUUGUGCACUAGGUGUUGG
rnacentral:rRNA from 1 species